rnacentral:rRNA from 1 species
AUUGAACGCUGGCGGCAGGCUUAACACAUGCAAGUCGAGCGGGGGAGGUUGCUUCGGUAACUGACCUAGCGGCGGACGGGUGAGUAAUACUUAGGAAUCUGCCUAUUAAUGGGGGACAACAUCUCGAAAGGGAUGCUAAUACCGCAUACGCCCUACGGGGGAAAGCAGGGGAUCACUUGUGACCUUGCGUUAAUAGAUGAGCCUAAGUCGGAUUAGCUAGUUGGUGGGGUAAAGGCCUACCAAGGCGACGAUCUGUAGCGGGUCUGAGGGGAUGAUCCGCCACACUGGGACUGAGACACGGCCCAGACUCCUACGGGAGGCAGCAGUGGGGAAUAUUGGACAAUGGGGGGAACCCUGAUCCAGCCAUGCCGCGUGUGUGAAGAAGGCCUUAUGGUUGUAAAGCACUUUAAGCGAGGAGGAGGCCCUUUUGGUUAAUACCCAAGAUGAGUGGACGUUACUCGCAGAAUAAGCACCGGCUAACUCUGUGCCAGCCGCCGCGGUAAUAC